UGGGGAAUAUUGCACAAUGGGGGAAACCCUGAUGCAGCGACGCCGCGUGAGCGAAGAAGGCUUUCGAGUCGUAAAGCUCUGUCCUAUGAGAAGAUAAUGACGGUAUUAUAGGAGGAAGCCCUGGCUAAAUACGUGCUAGCAGCCGCGGUAAUACGUAUGGGGCGAGCGUCGUCCGGAAGUAUUGGGCGUAAAGGGUACGUAGGUGGUUUUUUAAGUCAGGUGUCAAAGCGUGGAGCUUAACUCCAUUAAGCACUUGAAACUGAAAGACUUGAGUGAAGUAGAGGAAAGUGGAAUUCCUGGUGUAGCGGUGAAAUGCGUAGAUAUUAGGAGGAAUACCGGUGGCGAAGGCGACUUUCUGGACUGUUACUGACGCUCAGGUACGAAAGCGUGGGGAGCAAACGGG
rnacentral:rRNA from 1 species